GGGGGAGGGGGAGUCUGUUUGUGGAGAAAGGAGUCCAUAGCCUUCAUCAAAUUCUCAAAGAGAUUCCUAAUUCAAAAGAUGUUAAGAGCUGCUUGUCUAAGAUCUAGUCCUCAGCCACCCAGGAUGAAGUCCUGGAUGAAGGGAUUGGAGAUGUGGUCAUCAAGGUCAGAAGCACACGUUUGCACCAACCAAGGUUCCGGGGAAGGUUCGGAGGCGCCUCAAUCACAUGAGCGGUACAUUCCUAUGUUGUAUUUCAUGGCAGCUUAUCUCUAAGAUGAUUUCUGUAAUUGACUAGUCUGACCACCUUAUUAUUCUUAUCAUAACAUCAAGUAACUUUGUGGUCUCAAGAUCUGUGAUUCUUCAGUCCAUUGUGUCUAGGCUGAUCCCAUUUGGGGGUUAUGGGUAUGAUGACGCCAGUGUGUAUAUGCUAUGUACUAAGCAUUCUAUAGCAUUUGUUGGAUAAAUGAAUGAAUAAAUGGAAGCGUUGUCAAAAGUGGAAAUACAUACAAGGAAAUGCAAAGAGGAAGUGGCCCUUGUUUGUCAGGCUUUGGAACGAUUGAGCUUUUGUGAUGAUGAGCUUUUGUGAUGACAAGAAACCCUAGAGAGGAAUAGGGAUCCCAGCAUCCUGGUGGAAAAAGGAGAUGGCAGUAGAUGCUGCAGGGAAAUGUUCUAAAGCUUGGGCUCUCAAAGAGCCAGGUUGGGUGUGAGGAUAACGGACUGAUGUCUCCGACAAGGUGGUGGGGGUGCAGGCAGCAGGAAGCACCUGGUCUCAUGCGUGGGACCAGCUCCUACAAUGACUGCACUCACUGCCACCCAUGAGACCAUCACGGGACACAUCCACCCUGCAGCUGGGAGCUUAGCGUCCCACCCAGGGCAGCAGCCUGGUGGUGCUUUGGAUGCCCACCUCCCACUGGUGGCGGCCUUUCAUCUGAGCCUGAGCAGUGGCUCAGAAACUGCCCAUCGUCCAGGCCAGUGGCCCUCCAAGUUUGGUGUGCACCUGAAUCAUGUGGGCACCUCAUCUACAAUGUGGAUCCCUAGGCCUCGCCUCUGAGAGUGUCACUUAGCAGGUGCGAGGUGGGGUCCAGGAGUCUACCGAUGGCUCACAGACCACCUGUGUUCAUUCAGGUUCACUGAGAAGCAGAUGCCAAGAUGGGAUCGGCCGUAAAAGAGAUUUUGGAGGGAAAUGCCUAUGAAGGAUAAAAGGGUGGGAGCCCAGGAAGGGGGUGAGCUCGGACCCCAGUGCAGUUCUGGCCCCAGUGAAGGGGAUGAAUAGGCAGUGAGGAGACUCAGGGCAAUUGUACAGAUUAGAGGGAACAGUGACUACAAGACUGCCCUCACUUCAGGCACCAGCUGCAAGUUCAGAGUCUCCAAGACCAUUCUCAGGGUUCCAUGAUUUGCUAGAAGGACUCAUGGAACUCCCUGAAAGCUGUUAGACUCAUGACUAGUUUAUAGGGAAAGGUUAUAGAUUAAAAUCCGCCAAGGAAAGGAACACAUAGGAUGGAGUCCAGGGACCAGACCCAGAGCUUUCCUUGUCCCCUCCCCCAUGGAGUCAGGACACGUUACUUUCCAGGAAACUACCUGAGACUAUGUGUGGAGUGUUGUAAACCCAGGAAGCUCACCUAAGCCCUGGUGUUCAGAGUGCUUAUUGGGGCUCCGUCAUGUAGGCAUGGUUGAUUGACUGUCCACGUAGGGGAUCUCUGUCUGUGGGUGACCCAAAGCUGCACCCUAAACCAUAUUGCUCUUCCUGGUGUGGCCAGCCCCCACCCUGAGUCACACUGCUGUUAUCUGGCCAGCCCAAUGCCCCCCCAGGCAAAUGAAGAUUAUCUCCCAGGAGUUAGGGGUAAAUGUCAGAUUUCUUUUGUGCUAGAUUAAUUUUUUUAUUACACAAGUGGGAAGAGUCUUAGUAGUACGAGAAACGUUCGGGCAGAUACAUGGGGAGGCCCUGAGCCAAAGCUGCUUGGGAGGAGUCCUGGGUCUCUCAGGAAUGCCCUGCGUUAGUCCAUCCCCGGUUCCCCAGUGCUCAGCUUGGACUGGGUGUAGGCCUAGGGAGUGUGGCUUCGGUGUGAAUGUGGGGGUGGAGCCCAUAGCAGGAAUGCUGAGUGGCGGCUGUCAUCUUCAUGCCACAGGGAUGGUAGUGGCAGUGGCUGGGUGAAGCUGCCCCCCUCCGCCCCCCCCCACCCCGUCUUCCUGCAAGGCUUCUUUGCCUGACAUGUUUGUGUCCCCCCCCCCCCCCCCGCCCCCCAACCUCGUGGCUCCUGCAAAGAGGAAAAGGAUCUGCGCAGGGCUCUGGACACAGCAGUGGCAGGUGAGGUCCAGGCCCAGACUGUGUGCUCCCCUCCUGCCGCAGCCUUGUAGGGGCUCCCGCACACAGGACAGAGUAGGGACAAAACAGGAACAAAGGAGGUCAGGGUGUGGAUGGCAGCUUAGCUCCUAUGAAGGGUCACUCCUGUGGCUUCUGCUCUAGCUGGGGCUCCCCUGGGGUCCCUGCAGCUUGGCCCCAGCCUCACACAGGGGAGUCCCAGGGGCUAUGGCUCAGAGUCUCCGGCUCAGGGACAGUUCCGGGGCCCAGAGGCACCGGCUGCGGAGAGCGUGGGCUCAGGGGGCAGCUGGGGAGGGGCCCCCCACCCCCACCCCGGAGUCUCCAUGGCCAGAAUUUCUCUCAUAGUCCUUUCAAGCCUUUUAUUGAUUGCUCCUCUUAAACUCCACGAGCCGUUGGGGCAAGAAAGCAGGUGGGGAAACUGAGAUUAUAGAGAAAGUGUGGCAUGUGGACCAACCAUGUGGAACCAGGAAGGGGAUGACUCAGAAUGUCAGUGCUGCGGGUAUGUUCUCUGCCGGGCACAGCUGGGCCUGCUUCUUAUUCCGCAGCCCAGUUCCUACCCCACCUUUGCUUUCACAUUGCUUUAGUGCUUUCCUUGCUGGCGGUCAGAUCCCAGCCCCAGGGGAAGGCUGCACUGUGCUUCUAAUUGAAGAAUGAGGAAGCAACUUUGCACACUUAAAAAAAAAAUGUCUGGACCUGGGCCAACCCCUACCAACACUGGGCCUCAGGGUAGGGACGGGCGGCCUUGGUAGUCACACAAGUAAGAGAGCCCCACCCUGGAAACACUGUGAUCCUGGGGACACGGCAUCAGACAAGGAGGCUGGCAUCCCCAUCCUUAACUGAUUAUGCCUUUGACAAUUAUUAUUACCCUUCUCAGAUUCUAAGGCACCAUCAGUUGUAAGAUGCACCAACAAUUUAAUAACUGCUUUUAGGGACAGAAAAAGAAACACACGGCCACAUCCAAUGCACACAUCAACUCUAACAUCUGUUCUGAUUUCAGGGCUGUGAGCAUUUGAAAAAUACAGUGCAACUUAAAAAUGAUUUUUUUUUUAAAGCAGAAUUUAUAGGGGCACCUGAAUGGGCUCCGUCAGUUAAGCGUCCAACAUCGGCUCAGGUCAUGCUCUCAUGGCUUCGUGGGUUCGAGCCCCGCACCAGGCUCUGCGCUGACAGUGUGGAGCCUGCUGGGAUUCUCUCUUUCCCUCUCUCUGCCCCUUCCGUGCUCUCUCUCUCUGUCAGAAUAAAUAAAUAAACUUUGAGGGGAAAAAAAAGAAUUUAUAAAAAAAAAUAAAGCAACAGGAGACUUUUCCUAAUUCUGGGAUUGAGAUGCAAAACCAAUACCCACAUUUUGGGAUAACAGUGUUGAUAGGCUUUUUACCAUGUGUCGUUGCUCUCUUUUUGAGGGGACGAGGACUUGGGUUAACCUGAUAGAUACCCAAUCGAAAAGAUGGUACAUUAGUGAUAUUUAUAGUCAGAGCAGUGCACGGUUUAAAUUGGUUACUAGAUAUUUGCAUCUUUUAACUACACAGCUAAAAUAAGAGAACUACAGGACAUUUCAGUCUUAGAACAACAACUAAUGUUUGUGGGGCACUUUUUAGGUGCAGGCCCUGCUCAAGGUACUUCAUGUUUAUUGACUCGUAUAAACCCACAAAAAUCCCAUGAGAAGGUGCUAGGACCACCUUGACUUUAGAGAUGGGAACACGAGGCACGGAGAUUAAGCAGUGGCUCCAGGUCCCACAGGUGGGAUGUGGACUUGAACCCAGAUGGGUGGCUCCAGAACCCACCUCUUACCUGCACUAGACAACUUCUCUUAGAGCAUAAGGGAUGAAAAGAAAUCAAAUAAAACUUAGAAUUUCUAGUCACUGUCCGUGGGCAGGGCAUGUUGGGUUGGGCCGAAGGCAGUGGUAUGCUGGUCAACCCCCCUCAGAAAGCCCUUGUUUCUAACACUUGCCAAUGUCCUUGGUGUAAAUACUUCUCCCUUGGCUGAUUUUAAGACACACCUCGCCGGUAAAAUUCCUGAGUGCUUAGCAACUGCAUCUCAGGAGUUGGCACGAGCUGGCUCCACCACCUCUGGCUGAAAGUAAUUGUUCGUGUCCGUGUGGCACCGCUUGGCCAAGAAUGCGUUUUGCAUGAAGUUCGUUCAGUGAAGCCAACCGCGGGCGGGACUCGGCGUGUGCGUUCAGGGCUUGGAAAUGGUUUCUCCCCUCCGUUUCGCCACCUGCUAACCAGGGGAGCCAGCCCCUUGCUGCACCCCAGAUGACAAGUACGUACAUGCUCGCCACUCCCCCUGGCCUCCUGAGCAUCAAAGACGAAGCUGAAGACCAAAGCUUCCGGGCAAAGGGAGGCAGUUGCCUGGCUCCUGCUGGAGGAGACUCUGCGGCUGGUUGCCUAAGGGCCUCCUUUCUGAAGCAGAGCGGUGGUGGUGAGAGGAGAGAAACACCAGGUUAAACGAGAGGGAAAGGGGCUUCUGAAGCGUUAGAGUUGAGGCAUUAGGGGGAGGCUGGUGAGCUGUGGUCAGUGAGGGCAGAGCAGAGAGCAGAGCCAUCAGGCUAACUGACUGGACAACAUUUAGGUUCCUGUCUGGACGGCUCUAGAGACAAAGCCGUAAAGUCAGAUGGCUACAGACGCUGGGCAGAUGACUGAGGUGGGCAAAUGAGACAAAGCAUGAAAAAUAGGAGUGGCGGCCACAGUGGUGAACUGUAAGCACACAGCCCGCCAAAUGACACUGGCGGGUCGUGGCUUUUUUUGUUUUGCUUGUUAACAUCACAGGCCAAACAAAAUAGGUCAGUGACCUGGAUACGGGCCUCCAUUUUGUGAGUUUGGUCAGCAAGGCUUCCUGGCAAGGUUUAGAAGGCCAGACUCAGAGCGUGGCUUGCCAGGGGCUGAAGUCCACCCCCUCCUCUCGUGAGAGGUGGGACACCAGGGGUGUGAGGGCAGUGGGGUCACCCGAAGGCAGGCUAUCGGGGGUGCAUUAUUCAGCAAAUUCUCAAACAACCAUAAAAUUAAGAUUCAGUCUGUUUUUUUUUUUUUUUUUUUUUUUUAUUGUUCACAUGUGCUGGCCAAUCUGAACAAUGUCAGUGAUAAAAAUAUCCUCCUUGAAAAAUUCUUUUGUCGGUCUAAGUUCUACAUAAUUGCUCUGGUUGCUGUUGAGUUUCACUAAUGUAUAUGUAAGCUUCAAUGAACACAUUCAAAUAGCUUACUAUUAACAAGCAUUGUAUUCUACAUGGAAGUUAAUUUGAGAAUUAACCCCUGACUCCAGUGAAUUCACCCAUAAGUGUUUGUUUUCAGAAUAAGUACCUAAUGAUUUGGAACCCUUCAGUUCCAAACCCUGUGGAAACACAUAUUCCUAUGUUUAAACCAUAAAUUCAAAAUAAACAAUGAUAAUGCCUGAUUGCAAACAUGAAGAAAUAGACUAAGAGUUAGUAGGAUUUUGUCAUUCCAUGUGCCCAUACCAGAAGGACUCAAAAGGGCAGUGUUUAUUUAUUUCUAAUUUUCAAACAGUUUUAUUUAUUUAAGUAAUCUCCACACCCAACAUAGGGCUCGAAAUCACGAGCCUGAGACCAAGAGUCACAUACUCUUCUGACUGAGCCAGCCAGGCACCCGAAAAGGGCAAUGUGUUUUGUUUUUUUUUUUCAAUAUAUGAAGUUUAUUGUCAAAUUGGUUUCCAUACAACACCCAGUGCUCAUCCCAAAAGGUGCCCUCCUCAAUACCCAUCACCCACCCUCCCCUCCCUCCUACCCCCCAUCAACCCUCAGUUUGUUCUCAGUUUUCAGGAGUCUCUUAUGCUUUGGCUCUCUUCCACUCUAACCUCUUUUUUUUUUUUCCUUCCCCUCCCCCAUGGGUUUCUGUUAGGUUUCUCAGGAUCCACAUAAGAGUGAAACCAUAUGGUAUCUGUCUUUCUCUGUAUGGCUUAUUUCACUUAGCAUCACACUCUCCAGUUCCAUCCACGUUGCUACAAAGGGCCAUAUUUCAUUCUUUCUCAUUGCCACGUAGUACUCCAUUGUGUAUAUACCACAAUUUCUUUAUCCAUUCAUCAGUUGAUGGACAUUUAGGCUCUUUCCAUAAUUUGGCUAUUGUUGAGAGUGCUGCUAUAAACCUUGGGGUACAAGUGUCCCUAUGCAUCAGUACUCCUGUAUCAAAAGGGCAAUGUUUAAAUGCCUUGUUUUCAAGGCAUUCAAAGAGCUGGAUGCUUGUUCUAAAGCAACAUAUCAAAUAAUGCCAAUAUUCACUGUUACUCAACCAUUUUCCCUGAUUUUUACAGAAGAAACACCGUAGAAGUUUACCAACUGUAAUAAAAAUGUAUGGUAAAUUUUCUGGUGGAGAUAUUUUAGCAGAAAUUUUUUUACUACGAAGACAUUUGAAAGCAUCUAAAAUUGAUCCCAAAGAAACAAAUACACGGACAGUAUUGCAACUUCUAAAGUGAAUUGUGACAUGGGAUUUUUAAUGAAUCUUUGACAAACCUAUUGUUAUAUUUAAGACUUCUAUUUAUGUAUUUGUUGAUUCAUGUAGAAGAAGUUUUUCAAAAUGAAAAUUAACCAUGAGUGAAGACUGUCUAUUGAACAACGAACUGUCCAUUGAACAUGAAUUAUGUGAAGAUGAGUUUUGACAAAGUCAUUGACAAAUUUGUAGAGGUUAAGCCUGGAAAGCAGAAACUAUUAUUCGUUACUGCAACAGACCAAUAUGUAGGUAUGUUUGUUCCAGUUUUUAAAAGUAUUGAUGUAAUUAAAACAGAAAAAUCCAUUACUUUUCCUCUUUUUCAUAUUUUAACAUUUAUAUAUUUUUAUUGGGAUAGAUAUAUAUAGGGAGAGGGUUUCCCUCCCAUCCCAGUAUUUCAUUUAAAACCUUUUCCAGGGGGCUUGGGUGGCUCAGUCAGUUGAGUGUAUGACUUGAUUUUAGCUCAGUUUAUGAUCCCAGGGUCAUGUGAUCGAGCCCUUCAUCAGGCUUCAUGCUGAAUGUGGACCCUGCUUAAGAUUCUUUCUCUCUCUCUCUCUGUCUCUCUCUCUCUCUCAAAUAAAACUUAAGGGCACCUGGGUGGCUCAGUCAGUUGAGCAUCUGACUCUUGGUUUCAGUUCAGGUCAGGAUCUCAUGGUUUGAGGGUUUGAGCCCUGCAUCAGGCUCUGUGCUGACAGCAUGGGCCUGCUUGGAAUUCUCUCUCUCUCCCUCUCUCUCUGACCUUCCACUGCCAGCAUGCUCUUCCUCUCAAAAUAAAUAAAUGAACUUCCAUUUAAACACCUUCCAUUUAAAUUUAAAAUUAAAUUAAAAAAAUUAAAAAGACAAAAGCUUUUUCCAAUAUAGGAAUGGUUUUGAGACAACCUGAUCCCAUAUUUACUGGCCUGAUUGGAGAGUCCAUCUUGGCAGCACAGAAUGAGAUUUGGAGCAACCAUGGAAAUCCUGGAAUUUGUGAGUUUGAUCUCAUGGCCAAGGAGGGUGGUCUUGUUCCCACUUGAGAAUGAAAAUAUUGUGAGGGGCUUUCUAGCCACCAUUCUAGAUGGGUGAUAUGGGGCUUUCAUAGGCACAAUGCUCUGACAUUGGGCAGAGAGAUAGAAGUGACUUUCCUCUCCUGCUGGCUCCUGGCCCUUAGCCAGACCAUGUCACUGUUGGCUCCAUCAUGGUUGUCUUUGCAGAAUUUGGAAGUGGAGACUGGGCAGCCUGAUGAAGGGGCAGAGUGAAGACAGUGAGGAUCACCCUUAAAUCAGCCCUAUUGUGGCCAGCCCUAAAUGGGCAGAGAGGGUGGCAUUCUCCGAGGAAUAAUUGGCAAGGUCACUGGCCCAGAUCGGGCCCUCUUCUCCCCCAUAAGUCCUGAAAUUCUCACUGUCGAGGUAUUAUUCCUCCUCCUCCUGUUACUAAUACCACCAUUUUACUCUGCUUCCUAGAUAUUCUUGUGAAUGCACAAAAGUGCCACCUGGAAGGACUACCACAUUCACCCUCAAAAUGACAAGGAAGACCAGCUCCUGGUCACUCAGACCAGUCUAGUCACUCAGGGCCCUGGAGGCCAGGGAUGCAGAGCAGGGAUGUGUUUACAAGGAGUCUUAGGCACAGAGAGGUCUGGGAGAGGAGGGAGAGAAGGGUAGGAGGGGAAGGUCUGGACUGCCAGCACUGGAGGGGGUACCGGUGCCCAGGGAUGUGACAGGCGGUGGUAUUAGUCCUCACCACUUUGCCUGGUUCGGUUCAGGGGUCUAAAAUCGUCGUGUCAUGCAGAGAGGGCGGUGGCACGGAGACACUCCAAAGGCAACUGAUUUCUUCUUGGAAGCUGUUAAGGUUAUUGAUUUAAGUCAUGACAGGCUCAAGGGCACUAAGAGAUUCUUUCAAAAGGAAAUAAAACUGCUUCUCCAGGUGAGUAUUGCUUUUUAUUUAGGCAGGGGUCUAAAUCUAUUGAGGUGAAAGCGACUGGGUCUCACCUCUGGAGCAAUCUGGGGAGACCUAUAAAGUUUAUUGAUUGGACUUACUUAACUUACACUGGCUAAUAAUAAAACAACUAGACCCAUCAAUCAGUCCCCAGGCCCUCCAAGAAAAUGAUUACAGGGUGGAUUGAUUCCUCCUCAGAGAUGGCAGUUUACGGGGAAAACACUGAGGGGGUGGGGACAAUAGAUGCUGCACAAUGACAUCCUAGGGCAGCACACUGGGGAGGCCACUUCUUGCCCAGGUGAGGGUCCAAGAGGAGGGCCAAGAGUUCUCUAGGAAUAGGCUGCCGUGACCUCUCUGGACACCAAAGAGUUAGCCUCAUCAGGAAGGUAGUGGGAAGCUGCCAGAUUUAUGACUGCCAGGUAAGAAAGGGCAAGAAAGUGAGGAUAUUGACACGGGGCAAGGAAGGAGGGGUAUAUGGUAAGGGGCAGACAGCCAAGAUAACUGAGAUUCCAACACCCCAGUCUUCAAGUCUGGAGCAGGGCCCUCUCAAAGGCAUGUUGCUGGCCUGCCGUUGAGCCAACAGGAAGGAUCUGGAGGAAGAGGAGUUACUCAAUCCUACUCAACAGGCUUAGACAACAGCCUCCGAGAGCCAACCAGAUUUUCUCCAAGACGAAGACCCACCCUGACCAGCAUUCUACCACAGGAAUGAUUAAUCUGGGCUUUGGGGUCCACCAACCCCUCUUUGCUGUCUCCCUCUGGUGCUUCCCAUCCAAGAGCCAACAGGGAGCCCGCAGGGAAGCCCACAAUGUGGUUUGCAGAGUCUGAACUGCACAAGGCUGAGCCUGGAAGGGCAGGUUUGGAUCUGAGAGACGGUACCUCAGAGGUGACAGGGGAGAACUCAGCCCAAUAGAGGGCUGGCUCCAUGCUGAGUGGCAGCCAGCCAACCAAUGGGAGUGGGACAAAGAGAAAGAAGGUGGAUCCUGAGCACCGCUGGGGAAACUUUCCUGGUAACUUGCAAAACCUGCCUCACAGUCUGGAAUUGAAACCCUGGCAACCAGUUGCCUCUUCCCAGUUGCCACUUUUCUACCUUGUCCCUGGGUGUUCUUGAAAAUACAUUUUCAUUCCCAAAGCAUUCUCUCUGUCUCUGCCUUGUGAUCACACAUGGAGCUACAAUAAAUGCUCACCUACGAGGGAGUGGGAAGGAUCAAAUGUGAUAAUGUACAAGAAAGGUCUUAGAAUUGUUCAACAGGUAAGGAGGCGCCGGCAUCUCACCCAGGGCUGGAGCCACUCCUGGUCUUCCCCAGCCUCCUUUGUGAAGGUCACCUUUCUUAUGGCCCUGGUGGUCCCCAUCAGCAGGUAUCUUCCAUGGCCCUCCAGGUGGCUGUGAGACUCCUGGGCUUCUGCACUUGCCCCCAGGUAAACAAGGGCAGCAGAAGUACAUGCUGGAUUUAGACAGUAUUUUCCCACCUAGCCGAAAGAACCUUUGAGACCCUUAAGGGCAACUCCUUAAUUUUACAGAUAGGACUCCUGAGGUUAGAAGGCCAGGGGACUUGGCUAAAGUCAGGUGAAGACAUAAAGGGACAACAUUAGGGUGUGAGCUCUUUGUUCCCAGCCUUCCCUUGUCAUCCUAAUCUCCCAAAAACGGUUUUUGCCUCUUGAUCCUGACUGUCCCCUCUGGUGCCUUUGAAUGAUUGACCUACACUAUCUUGUGGCUGCCUUUGAGGGCAGCACACCUCCUUCAGAAGGCUCUCUCCAGGCUUUGGGGCUGCAAGAUGAUUAAUACAAGGAGAAGAAAGGUAUGCAGAGCCCACGGGACUCAGAUCUUGGGCUGCAUCCUUGCUCCUUCUCACUGUCAUCCUCAGAGCAUUUUUGGAAAGAAAUGGAAUUAUGGAUUACUCAGAAGAUAGCUCUGGGCAUUUCUCAGUUUACAGGUAUCUUCUGGGCAUACUCAUUGGUGACUUUUGGACCAGAAGCAUUUCAGCCUGAAGAUGACCUUCAAUCAAACCAUGGAGCCAACAAGUCUGGGGUUUCUUGACUCCUAUUGUCUUGAUUGGUCUAACAAACACCUCAGGGAAUUCUGAUUCAGGUGGGCACCUUCCUGCUGUGUCCUCACAUGGUCUUCUUCUGAGUUUAUUUUCAUAGGUGGGAAGUCCUCAAAGGAUUUUCAAUAUUAUCAGAAGCUACUGAUGACAUGGAAACAGGUGUAAUGGCUGAACGUGGCUGGAAGUAAUAACCUUGGUCAAGGUGAACAGGCCCUCUUCCUUGAGAACUGUUAAGAAGUAAAGAAAACUGCAAAAUAACUACAGAUUCCUGAAAUCAAAGGAAUAAAAACAAUGGGAGAAGGCAACAGAAGCAAAUAAAUGAGUUUCUCCAGAGCUGUGCAAGGUUGACCAGGACUCCCCUCCCUGCAGCCCGGGCACCUUUCUAAAGUGGACAGUAAACAGAAAAACAUGCCAGCAUGGUUUACCAUUCUACGAAGAAAGCUUGGCAUCUACACGCUCACACUUGACAGAAACUUCAGUGUCUCUAACUUGAAGCAGGCCCUGGGCAAUUGGGUCCACUUGUGCUUUUCCAAAGUGAGUAACCUUGUCCCUGCAGCUCCACUUUUGCCAUUGCGUGAAAAUGGACUGGAAGGACAGUGUGUGUGUACCCAUGUUUUCCUGCCACUUCCCUGGGUCCUAGAAAUGAUCUCUGCUGCUCUGGAAUACUGUGUAGGGGGCUGAAUGGCGGUCCCCAAGAAGAUAAUCCACAGUCAGAACCCGUGCAUGUGACCUUCCUUGGAAAAAGGGUUCGUACAGAUGCAAUUAAAUGAAGGAUCUUGAGAUGAGAUCAUCCUGGAUUCCUGGGUGGGCCCUGACCCAAUGCAAAGUGUCCCUAUACAGUCAGGAGGAGAAAACACAGACACAGAGAAGUCCAUAUGGAGAUGCAAGCAGAGAGCUGCAGCCACAGGCCAAGGAGUCGCUGGGCCACCAGAAGCUGAAAGAGGCGAGCCAGGAUUAUUCUCUAGAGCCUUGGGAGGGAGUGUGGCCUGGCCAACAGUGUUUUCAGACCUUUGGCCUCCAGAACUAUGAGAGACUACAUUUCUCUUGUGUUAAGCCACUUAGUUUGUGGCAAUUUGUGACAGCAGCUGUAGGAAACCACUGCAGACGUGCUCCCAAGGAUGGACCCCGGCUCGGGUACUUCUGUCACAGGAGAUGCUCCUUCUCUCUCUGGGAGGAUUUGCCAGAGCACCAGUCUCAGUGGCCAGGUGGGCAACCAGCUCUUGGGAAGUGCAAACACUCAGAUGGGGCUGUGGCUGAGGAUCCACACUGGAGAAAGCAUGCUGGGAUGCUUUUAGCAUCUCUUGGCGGCCAAGGCAUUGCAGAAAUGGCCUAACUUUGGAACUAGACAGACUUUGGUUUAAAACUCAACUCCACUGUGAGCUUUGUGACUCCAGAUGAACUACUUGCCCUCUCUGUGUUUCAACUUCCUCAUCUAUAAAAUGAGGAUAAUAGCUCCUACCUUAUAGGCAGGAGCAGAUGCAGGAUGAAGCCUGCGUAUUUUUAGAGACCCUUUUAAAGAAGAAGAAAGCUUCAAAUCCAAAAUUAGGAGUGGGGCCUUGUGCUAGGGAGGGGCUCCAAGGCUUACACUAACCCGCCUCAGCUUCCAGGGUGUUCCAAGGGUUACAGAUAAAAGCAUGAAGCCCUAGGCAGCCCUGGCUCCUAGCGAGUGCUUUGCAAGAGGUAAAGCUAUCUGGAUGAAGAAUCCAACACUGAAGUGUCUACUGAAAGGCACACAGAUAUUUUUGUAACACACAGAAAAAUGUAUGAUAGAAUACAUUCCAUGGAGGGUUGCUAGUUGAUGGCUUGAUAUCCGUUUUUCCUUUCUUUUCUGUAACAGAAAACUGACAUUUUGGGGCAUGCCCAUGUGCUCAGCUAACACCUAGCUUUCCAAGCAUCUCUUGCAAAGAGGUGUGGCCAGGAGACAAAGCUCUGGCCAAAGAAGUAUAAGCAAAUAGAGGUAAGACACUUCCAUACAAUCUUCUUACGGGAGCGUGUUUGCAACUGAAUUGUGCCUCCCUCAACCACCAUUCAUACGUUACAAUCUUAAUCCUUAGUAUCUAAGACGAUGACCUUAUUUGGAAAUAGGGUAAUUGCAGGUAUAAUUAGUUAAGAUGAGGUCAUUAGGGUGGGCCAUAGUACAACAUAAAUGGUGUCCUUAUAAAAAGGGGAAAUUUGAACAGAGAACCACACGAGGCCGAGAAUGCAGUGAUGCUUGUGCAAAACUAAGGAACAUCAAGAAUUGUGAGCAGAUUCCCUGUAGAAAGGGGAGAGGCAUGGAAUAGAUUUGGCCUUAUAGUCCUCAGAAGGAAUCAGCCCUGCUGACAACUUAAUUGCAGACAUUUGGCUUGCAGAACCAUGAGACAAUAAGUACAUUUCUGUUGUAUAAGCCACUCAGUUUGCGGUAGGUUGUUACAGCAGCCCCAGCAAACUAACACAGACAGAUAUGUCCUUCUUCACCAAGCUUCCAUAUUGCUGCAUGGAAGGCAGAUAAGAGGGCUGGUCCUCUAUUAGCCAUCUUGGUCCAUGAGGAUGAGGGUAGGCAGAGAGCUAAAUGCAGUCUGGGACCCUAAAACUUCAAGAAACUUUCAGACUAGUUCUGUUCUGCCUACCUUUGGGCUUUUUUUCCUGAAAAAUAAGUAAUCUUGAAGGUUUUGUUGUUAUGGUUUGUUUUCUGAAACGUAGCUGAACAUAAUCUUAACUGAUACAUAGUUUUGAUAAAUUAGUGAUUCUCUGGGAGAGGAUGAAGAUUGGAAUAUCAGGUAGGGGAAUUUUAGCUUUACCUGUAAUGUUUCAAUUUUGAUAGCAGAAUGUAUUCAUGUAUUAUUUUCUAAUUAAAAAUUUUAUAAUAAAUAAGUUACAAAGAAAAAAAAGAGGGAUGACAACAUACAGAUUAAGAGAGGCCUAAGAAAUAUAUCAACCAAUCGCAGUGCAUGAACCUGAUUUGGAUCCUGACUUAAAACAAAAAAUUUUUUUAAACCUAUGAGCUAAUCAGGGAAAACUUAAUAUUAAUUGGAUAGUUGCCAUUAUGGACUUAAUAUUAAUUUUUAUGCAUGCUAAUAAUACCAUGGUCGUAUAUUUAAGGUGCUCUUAUUUUUAGGCUCUAAAACAUUGUUUUGCACCCUCAAGACUAUUUUUAUUUUGGGCCAAAGAAUUUUUUUUUGAGUACAGUUGACACACAAUGUUACAUUAGUUUCAGGUGUACAACAUAGUGAUUUGACAAUUUAUAUAUUAUGCUGUGUUCACCACAAGUGUAACUACCAUCAGUCAUCAUACAACGCUUUCAUAGUAUCAUUGAUUAUAUUCCCUACGCUGUGCUUUUUAUUCCAUAUGAAUGACUUAUUCAUUCCAUAACUGGAAGCCUGUCUAUCUCCCUCUCCCUUCACCCAUUUUGUCCUUCCCCCAGCCCCCUAGCCACCAUCAAUUUGUUCUCAGCAUUUAUAGGUCUCAUUCUGCUUUUGUUUGUUCAUGUUGUUGUUGUUGGUUAGGUUGCACUUAUGAGUGAAAUCAUACGGUAUUUGUCUUUCUCAGUCUGACUUA